GGGACAAUGGGGUAGCCUGGUCCAUCCUCGUGCGUUUGGGACGCAUGAACCCCGGUUCAAAUCCGGGUUGUCCCA
rnacentral:tRNA from 1 species